GCUAGUAAUCGCAGAUCAGCAUGCUGCGGUGAAUACGUUCCCGGGCCUUGUACACACCGCCCGUCACACCAUGGGAGUCGGUAACACCCGAAGUCGGUAGCCUAACCGUAAGGAGGGCGCCGCCGAAGGUGGGAUUGAUGACUGGGGUGAAGUCGUAACAAGGUACC
rnacentral:rRNA from 1 species